UGGUCUUCUUGCCUAGGGAAUGGAGUGUGAGUGAGUAGAUCGCGAAAGGAUAUUGAAGAUGGCAUCGACGGAAGGGCUUGUGCCCAUCACCAGGGCUUUUCUAGCAUCUUAUUACGACAAAUAUCCUUUUCCUCCUCUUUCGGGCGACGUUUCUCGGCUUUACUCUGACAUGGCGUCGCUUAUUCAGCUACUAGCCCUCCAAUCUCCUCCUUCACAAGCUUCCCUAAUCGAGGAAGCGAACCGAGAGCCUCCUCACAAGAUUGAUGAGAAUAUGUGGAAAAAUAGGGAGCAGAUGGAGGAGAUAUUGUUUCUUCUGCAACCAUCUCGUUGGCCUGUUCAGCUUCGGGAAGAUGAUGCUGAAUUAUCUUCCACUUUGAGACAUGUCAAGGACAAUUUUGAUAAAGCUCUGACUGCUAUGAUUUCCUUCCAAACGAAAAACUCUGAGCGCAUUUUUAGCACUGUUAUGACCUACAUGCCUCAAGAUUUCCGUGGAACGCUUAUCAGACAGCAGAAAGAGAGGUCGGAGAGGAACAGACAGGCCGAGGUUGAUGCCUUGGUUAGCUCUGGAGGGACCAUACGCGACACAUAUGCUCUUCUUUGGAAGCAGCAGAUGGAGCGGAGGAGACAGUUGGCUCAGCUAGGCUCUGCCACUGGUGUCUACAAAACUCUCGUCAAGUACUUGGUAGGAGUUCCACAGGUGUUGUUGGAUUUUAUUCGUCAAAUAAAUGAUGAUGAUGGGCCAAUGGAAGAACAACGAGAACGUUAUGGACCUCACCUAUACAAUCUCACAAAAAUGGUGACGGCUAUCCGGGUUUCCUUAACACUUCUUUGGGAAAGAUAUGAUACUUUCAAACUGAAUAAAAACCAAAUGAAUCUCCUCUCUGAAGCUGUUAUCGUCUACACAUCUGAGUUUGAAAGAUUCAUCACGUUUAUCAGCGAUGUAUUUGCCAAUUCCCCCUUCUUCAUUUCAGCAGAUACCGCUGGGACAUUGGGCUCCAGGGAAAAUGAGGAGUACAAGGAGAUAAUCGUUCAAGCUGGGAGAACCUAUGAGGUGUCAUUGAUGGUGGAAUCCGAAAAUUCGUAUAUUGCUUGGGAUUUUUCUUUGGUGCAAGGCAAGAUUAGCAUGGAUAUUGGAUUUUGCGUGGAGUACAUAAGUGCUUCAGGGGAAAUGACUGUGACUUAUAUUACCUUACCAUCGAUAUGAAGCUGACCAGGGAAACUUCUCUACGCUAAUGGCUGGAAACUACAAACUUGUUUGGGAUAAUUCGUAUUCAUCUUUCUUCAGAAAGACUCUUCGAUAUAAAGUAGAUUGCAUUCCGCCAGUAGUGGAGCCGACAAACUGAAAGUGGAAGCUGAAGGUGGAUCAGAGGCAUGAAAACUCAUCAUUUUUUGUACAAAGACAAGACUCUGACCUUCUGAAAGACAUGAAUGGAAAAUCAUGACCUCUUAUGUGACUAUUUUGUUUGCAGAGGAGGAAGUGAAAAGUGGCUAUGUAAGUUAAUUGCCCUACUAGAUUCUUUGGUAUUUGUGAGUCUGAAUUAUUUGCAAGUAUUUCCAAAUUUUCAAGAAUUAUAUGUUAAAUAAUAUUUUAAAGUU